rnacentral:lncRNA from 1 species
AAUAUAAUUGUAAGUUGACUUGUAUAAAUUUGGAAGAAAAAAAUUGAUUUAUAACGAAAUGUCGACCGCUUUAUUUUUUUUUAUACAGUAUACAUAGUCAAUGAACAUAUUUGGCGGUAUGUAAUUCUAAACCUUUGCACUAUGAUUUUAAAUUUUCCAUUUAUACCAAAAUUUGAAGUUUCUUACAAAAGGGGCAUGCUAAUCAUGUUUCUCUACCAUUUAUCUUACUUGAAUAAUCACGUGAGAACCUUACAACACAUUGAAUCCAUCAGUUCGAUUAGACAUAUCCCACACCAGAGGCGGGGAGUGCCAUAGGUGGCGACCAGCGGAGAGGCAAUGGGUGGACGGAGGGAGGGGGUCGGGUUAUGAGAGAGAAUGUGCGCUCUUGUUGGAGGAAGACGAAGAUGAUCCAACAUUUCACAGCUUGGCACAUUCCUUUGCAAAUUGAUUGAAAGUGAAAAACCUUUUAGUUGACUGAUGCAGGACCUCCACGGUUAAUCACUCACAUUCACCAUUGGAGGUUCAAAUCAAACUUCUUAAUGUGUGGUUCCUCCAAACGUAUGCACUUAUGUAUCCCUUUGCGAAACCCAUUGUCAUUUUUAAUUUAAUAUUUGAUUUAUUUUGCCUAGUGCCAAAAAUAAAACAUUUACCAACAUAGGGUCAAGCAAUAAAUCCAAAUCAAAAAAUAUAUAUUUAAAUAAAACACCUAAGACGGUAUUCCAAAGAUCUAACACUUGAUUUGUAGAUGAAUAUUUUGAGAAAUUGUCUG